rnacentral:rRNA from 1 species
GGAGCAUGUGGUUUAAUUCGAAGCAACGCGAAGAACCUUACCAGGCCUUGACAUGCAGAGAACUUUCCAGAGAUGGAUUGGUGCCUUCGGGAACUCUGACACAGGUGCUGCAUGGCUGUCGUCAGCUCGUGUCGUGAGAUAUUGGGUUAAGUCCCGUAACGAGCGCAACCCUUGUCCUUAGUUACCAGCACGUUAUGGUGGGCACUCUAAGGAGACUGCCGGUGACAACCGGAGGAAGGUGGGGAUGACGUCAAGUCAUCAUGGCCCUUACGGCCUGGGCUACACACGUGCUACAAUGGUCGGUACAAAGGGUUGCCAAGCCGCGAGGUGGAGCUAAUCCCAUAAAACCGAUCGUAGUCCGGAUCGCAGUCUGCAACUCGACUGCGUGAAGUCGGAAUCGCUAGUAAUCGUGAAUCAGAAUGUCACGGUGAAUACGUUCCCGGGCCUU